rnacentral:ribozyme from 1 species
AACAUUCAACUUUGAAGAAUCAAACAUCCACGCAUUCAAUAGCAUGUCGACCUUCGUGACCAACCUCUCCAACAACCUCAUGGCGUCCUCCGGCUUUCUGGCCCUUCCCAUCGAGA